UUUUUGAAGAGUCCCAUCGAACUCUGUUUCUUUGAAGAGUCCCAUCAAACUAUGUUGUUAUUUUACAUAAAGAUUGGGAUUAGUUUAGGCCAAAAUUUUCAUACUUUGACCCUUAAUCUUCCUUAAAAAAACUAUAUAAAUCAACUAUGUAAAACUGAUGUUACUAAGUCCACCAUGAAAAAUAUUUCAAUAAAUGUAACUCUUCAAAUAAUAUAUCUCCAUGGAUAUAGCUUGCCAAAGUAAGGUAAUGAAAGAUCGUGUGUCAAAACCAGGCGAGCCACAGAUAUGCAGAUUUCUAAUAAAGAGUUACGUGUGGACCAUAUCAUAUUUAAUUUCUUUCUAAUAUCUUUUUUUUCUGGAUGAUGGUCUAUCUUCUAAUAUCUAUAGAUGAUGUAUAUCUGCCGUUCUUAGCUUCUUGUAGCUGCUGAUAGCCAUUUCUGAACAUCUUUUUUAUUCUGGCGCACGUAUUACUCAUUUGGUCAACUUCUACCGCUUCUUUUUUUUCCCUCAUUUGGUCAACUUUGACCUCGAUCAAAUGCUGCGUGCACACAUUCGCAGGCGGCGUUGGACGCGGAUAGGGGGGGCCGCUAGAUCAACGGCAGGGUUGGUGGCAAAUGGGGACCCGUGAUUCCCGAUGUGCUAUCUAGUACGGGAAAACGGUUGUGUUGCCGGCCGGAUCCCCUCAGGAUAUUCCGAAUUUACUAUGAACGCAGAAACUGGCCGCUACGAGCUUCGAAAAUUUUGGUGGUGAACAAGAAUGCAAGAUAUAUUUCUUUACUCCAUUCUACAGUGCAUACCUUGGGGGACUGGUGGGCCUUGAGCGGCUCGAACGUCUCCGGCUUCUUGCUGCCGAUCGACAGGGAGACGGGUCGUCAAAGAGUCAAUUCACUUCACAUCGAGCAGGAGGCUUGGGAGAAUAGAGAGUAGCUUGGAUCACUUACUCGUAGACAUCGGCCUUGAACUGCUCGAACCCGGUCUUCAAGCGCUCGACGGCGUCCGCCAUGGCCUCCUGCAAGAGCCACAGAUCAUGUCGUCAACACAGCUGUGCCGUCCGUCCACAACAAGAUCACCAGAUGCGUCAUGCAGAUUUCUCGGGGUGGGGGGGGGGGGGGGAGUCAUGCGAAUUGCGAGCGACGAGUCUAGAAAGGGAAAGAAGAUGGGUUGAAGCAUGGAGGAUGGAGGAGGAGGGGGCUGACCUUUGGGCUGCAGAGGAGAGCAGGUGGUGAACUGUGGAAGGAUUGACGAAGACUGUGGAAGGCUUUGCUUCGCUGUAGAGCUGCCCCGUCCAUGCCUCCCCGGGGGACCUUUUUUAUAGGAGGGGGGAGGCACGGGAAGCAGCGGCUCGCCUUCUUUUCCUGCCCCCCCGGUCGUGCAGCUGGACGGAUGGACGCGGGGAACGGCGAACCGGUCCAGCACGAGACGUGUCAUCGUGCGGGACGGGGUACACCACUAACCCACCGAGCUUCCAAAGGUCCAUCCUGCAGGCCGCCUUCGCCUUGACCUCCGGCUGGCCGCGGCCGGGCAGGCGUGGCGCCGGGCUUGGGGUGCCGUCCUUCCCCGGGGAAACGAGGAGGACGAUGGAGAGGCUGGAGCCGGAUGGGCUGAACGCCGCGGUGGACACGGCUCACGACGCGUGGCGCCCUGCCGGUUUAGCGGAGCCGGAGAAAACGAGGGGGCGCGGUGUGAAGACCCAAGAGGUAAAUACUUAAUUUUAUUUAUUAACUAAUCCACUAAUUAGUAAUUUUGAAGAACAUAAGUAUUAAAAAUCCAUGAGAGAAAUUGGAUCUCGUAACUGAUCAUCAAAUUACCUCACCCCCUUCUCAUUUCUCAAAUAUUCUAGCACAUAUAUAUAGAUAUAUAUUUAUCUUUAUCCAUUAUAGAAUUUAGUUAGAAAUUAAUCUAUGCACUCUUCAUCGUCGUUGAUAGUUUUCUUUUUGCAUGGCAUCUGCAUCUGGGUUUGACAUUUUUCUAACUAAAUUCUUAGUUUGGGCUAUGUGUUUAACAUGGAAAUUGGUGCUAUCAUAGCUUCCUGCAUAUACAGGGGUGGAUCCGACCCACUUGGUGCUGUUACUUGAUAGCAAUGGAUUUUUAAAAUCCAAGGCUAAAGUUAUCUUGAUAUUAGAGAAAAUCAUAUCGUAAAUUUGACACUAGUGACAUCAAUGGUUCUCUAUUCUAGAUUACCGCCUAUGUAGAUAUGUAUACAUGGUCUAAACCGUAAGUUAGUAUCUUUAUAACAGAAAUAAAUAAUUUAGAAUUUUUUAUUGGUGUGCACUGGGAUACUUUUUUAUAAUGAUAGAUGCAGUUAAUCAAGAAGCCAAUUUAGGGAUUAUUUUCAAUUGUUUUUAGUAAUAGCACAUAUGGAUAAUUUAUAUAUAUAGAUUUAGGAUGUUACUUUAUUAGAUGAUUUUUAUACUAAAAUGGCAGCGACGGGCUACUUUUUAUGCAUGUCCAUGAAGCAUACAACCAAGAAAAUGUUGUAAUGAAACUGAGAUCUUAGUAAACCUUGUGCUUUUCACGAGCAUACAACCUUGCAAUUUCUCAUAUUAAUACUAAGGUACAUAUCUGUCUGGUGUAUACGAGAGGGGGGAAAAAAAGAAUGUGCAACCAAAGCAGAGACAAAAAGAACAUGAGCAACCAUUUAGAGAUCUACUGGAAGGAACAGAGAGCAAGCAACCAAACUUUACUUCUGGUUUAAAGCGUGUGAUCAAUGUGGAUUAUUACUGUUGAUUUUUCUAGCUUAUUAGCAUGCACUGUAGCACGCAAAAGCACAUAGGCAUAAAGACCCCCCCCCCCCUCUGUUGAGUGCAAGAUUUUCAGAAAGUUUAGGGGUCAACUUUCUUAAUCUUUUUUUGUGAAGACAGCUUUGUAGUACAAAAUCAUUCAUGUCUCACAUAAAAAUGGUAGCACCAGCAUUUCAGGGAGAGAGAGAGAGAGAGAAGGGGCAUCAAGAUGUAGUAGAAAGGUAAAGUAUGCAUGAUAGUAUUAUGAAAAAGGCUUAUACAGCUGAUGUCUCUUGACCACAAAAGCGGUCUAAUUACGCACCAUAUAUAUUACAUAUAAGCUCCACCUUAGAAAUUAAAGCAGUAGAAGCUGCUAUUGCUUAUUACAUUCACAGAUAGGACGAUCCGGUUUGUAGCUGUCGAAAUAGGAGGUAAGUCCUCCACGCGUUGACAUCGACCGGGUGCAUAUACGUCGGUAUGUAUGUAUCUGAUGUAGUAGGAGUUUGCGGCCUAUUUCUCCCAUGUGUCGAAGAUUCCGUUCACGAAGUCGUAGCGGGCACCGACCAGCUUGAGGGUCCCGUUGGCCACGCCUUCCUUGACCCAGGGGUAGGUCAAGAGGUUCAAAAGGGACACGUUCACGGCCUCCUGCAGAAACAUUCAGAAAUGCAGGAUCCUCUCAUGAGCAAACCAAUUCGAUCUUUAUGAAAUCACGCGCGUAUGGGCAGCGGGUAACCAAAGAUCGCCAUGGCAACCAGGUCGUAGCCCGUGCGUACCUUCUCCAAGAUGGAGCACUGGUCAUCAAACGGAACCGUGGGGUGCUGGCUCAGCACCUUCUUCUUGGCCAGGAAGCCGAUCCUGACCCAGUCCUCGACGAAGUGGCUGGGCGCGUCGCCAAACAAACAAAGAACAUCCUCGAGUCAGAGACAUGAUGCUGCAGGGGUAGCAGGCUCCUCCCAUCUAAAACUUUGUUCCACCGUGACUUACAAGGUGUCGGGUGCGCCGUCCUGGAGGGAGAGGAGCGCCUUGAUGCCACCACAGCGGCUGUGGCC
rnacentral:lncRNA from 1 species